CCGGCCGAAGGAAGUCCCGGAGGUGGUCCUCCAGCCUCCAGCAUUCGGAAGUCCAAUAUCUGCCCCCCUCGGACCCAUUCGGAGUUUACUCAGUGCACCGUGGCAGUUCCUUUCAGCUAAUUAGUUGGACUGGGGAUCAGCCGAAGAAGAGACUGGUUGCUUCAUAUCCGGCAUGCUACUGCGCUCCUGCAUUGUCCUGCUCCGUGGCUUCUGAAAAUGUUCUAUAAAAACCAUAUGGAAGUUAUUCUGUGGGACCUACUUCAAAGAUAUAGACCAUUGGUUGAAAAAGGACGAAAUCUGGUGGCCCAACACUGAAGAAGGCCGCUACCAGGCCAAGAUGCGGUGCUCGGUGCCUGUUUUUCCUGUCUUUCAAAGAUCAACCACAUUGAGUAGGUCGACUUCGUCAUACCAGUUAAACAUUUCGAUCAUAUAAACGUAACAAC